rnacentral:rRNA from 1 species
UACGGGGGGAGCAAGCGUUGUUCGGAUUUACUGGGCGUAAAGGGCGCGUAGGCGGCCACUGCAAGUCGGUUGUGAAAUCUCCGGGCUUAACCCGGAAAGGUCAAUCGAUACUGCAGGGCUAGAGUGCGGAAGGGGCAACUGGAAUUCUCGGUGUAGCGGUGAAAUGCGUAGAUAUCGAGAGGAACACCUGCGGCGAAGGCGGGUUGCUGGGCCGACACUGACGCUGACAGCGCGAAAGCUAGGGGAGCGAAGCGGG